GAUGAACGCUGGCGGCGUGCCUAAUACAUGCAAGUCGAGCGAACGGACGAGAAGCUUGCUUCUCUGAUGUUAGCGGCGGACGGGUGAGUAACACGUGGAUAACCUACCUAUAAGACUGGGAUAACUUCGGGAAACCGUAGCUAAUACCGGAUAAUAUUUUGAACCGCAUGGUUCAAAAGUGAAAGACGGUCUUGCUGUCACUUAUAGAUGGAUCCGCGCUGCAUUAGCUAGUUGGUAAGGUAACGGCUUACCAAGGCAACGAUGCAUAGCCGACCUGAGAGGGUGAUCGGCCACACUAGAACUGAGACACGGUCCAGACUCCUACGGGAGGCAGCAGUAGGGAAUCUUCCGCAAUGGGCGAAAGCCUGACGGAGCAACGCCGAGUGAGUGAUGAAGGUCUUCGGAUCGUAAAACUCUGUUAUUAGGGAAGAACAUAUGUGUAAGUAACUGUGCACAUCUUGACGGUACCUAAUCAGAAAGCCACGGCUAACUACGUG
rnacentral:rRNA from 1 species